rnacentral:lncRNA from 1 species
GCGGCGAUUGGGCACAUUAAAUUUUUACUGAUUGUUGCUGAAUCGGUAACAGUCUGUUCCAGGGAAACAGCUGGAAUCAGACUGAACUGGCAGACACUGCACGUGUUCUACAGAGAAGAAAGAGGAUGAUGGUAAAGCAGACUGCAGUCUUCAGGCCUGGAGCAGAGAAGGGAGAGUUCCUGCUCUAGCCAGUCCUGCCAGGGUUCUGGCUGUGCCGGGACAGUGAAUGGCCACUCCGUCCCAGAUGAGCUGCAGGAAGCGUUUCGAUGUCAUGUGGAGAUGAAGGUUGCUUGAGCAGGAAAUCCACCCAUGGCCCAAAGAGGAAAGAUCCGCUUUAAAUGCCUGGGCAUAUACUUCCAAGAACCAGAUGUGGCCUGUUCCUUACACCUCCCCGGGCUUAGAGGACAGCUUGAACUCUGCGGCUGAUGGAAUUGAGCAGAUGGGAAUGACCUGGAAUCUAACACUCUACAAUUCAGACACACCACUGUCCACUUGUCCCUCCCUUCCUGCCACUGGCCCUGCCAGCGUACCUUGUGUACUUCGCAAAGGUCACUGGCUCCUGUUUUAUGUAAUGACUGACAGGCGAUCUCGCCCAGCUCAGCAAUGUGAACAGACACCUUGCAUGGUGCCGGUGGUGGGUGCGGUUGUUUCUGGAUGUCAUGGAAGAGGCUGGAGCAUUCCAGGGCUUUCCCCAAUUGUGCCUAAAAUAAAUUGGCUCUUGAGAGGUUUCUGUGUGCCUCUGGUCUGUGCUUUGGUCAUGUUAUUUAUGCAGGACAAGAGUGAUAUAAUCCAACAUGAACGUUUUCUCCUAUUAGCAAUUUGGUCUCAUCAGUUUUGUUAAUGGGAUAACAAGAGGUGCCAGUUAUGGUGCAAAAGUCCCAUCAUGUUGGUAAUUUUCACUGUAACGUGUUAGCAAUCUGUCACUAUUUGUUUCCAGCAAUUCUGGCAAGAGUCUGCUUACAUCAGGGGCUCCAAUUUUCUCUCCACGCCACCAGGCUGUUCUCCCUUUCCCUGGCGAGGUAGCCUCCCCUAUUUCGAUCUGUCUCUGUCCAUCCGGCUGUGCCCUUGUUUCUCUGUCUCCCGUGUUUCUCUCUCUGUCCCCUCCCAGCCCUCUGAUAACCUACUGCAGUGUUUGUAUUGGAGGGAAACACUGUUCGGGAGCAGCUUGCAGUGAUAGAAUUCCAGAGCUGGAAGCUUGCAACUCUCUUCGCCCCACUUCCCCCAUUUGCCACUUGGAGAAAUGAGAGCCAGAGAGAAG